UGGUGGAGUGAUUUGUCAGGUUAAUUCCGGUAACGAACGAGACCUCCGCCUGCUAAAUAGUCACGCGAUGCUUCUGCAUCCGCGGACGACUUCUUAGAGGGACUACGGGCGGUGAGCUCGCGGAAGUUGGAGGCAAUAACA
rnacentral:rRNA from 1 species